CUUCAUAUAAGUAUACAAUAUCAGACGACAUUUACCCGUUAAAAAACGUGCGAUUUGUGUCGAUUUGGGUCAAAAUGCCAAUUGAUAGUACGGAUCCUCAGGAGUCUAAAAAUGAUUCCCCCGGGUCAGCAGCUCCUAAUAAAACAUAUUCAUAUUGAAUAAUGCAGUCCAACUAACAGAGUGUUAAAUUGUGAGUGAGUCGAGCGGACGAAAAAACCGGCGCCCAGAAAAUAAGCAAGCGAUCGAAAGACGAGUGAGAACGAUGCGCCUCAUUACUUAGCAUGCACACACCCACACAAACACGUGUAUGCGCAGAGAUGAGCCAAGGCCAGAGAUAAGCAGCCACCUGUUCGUGUGUGUGUUCGCUGUCAUUUUGCUCACGCGCUCACGAUACAAUUUGGUGCUGAUCGCUGAUUGGUCCACACAUUAGCGGCCGGCCGUGAUGUACUCGCCUAGUCGAUUGAGUGUUCUUUUUUCUGAGCGCCGUUUUUAUGGAUCAGCUCAACUUAACAUAUGUUUGGGUGUGUGUUUUCGCAAUUCAUAUCUAUGCUUGCUUGUGCGUUAUCUACCUUUGAACGGCGAUUACUCCAGUUUGUGGAUUACUUGCUCAGUUUUCUGUUCUCCGACUUACGAAUCUUUAAUGCCUAACCGGCCAACGUUCAUGGACA
rnacentral:sRNA from 1 species